AAAAAACUUGGCAUUCUAUGUAUUUAUACGCUCCCUGUCUCCUCUCCUGUUUCCCUCCCCAACUUGGCAGGCCUUUGCCUUCGGCGACAGCAGCUCUCCCUCACCGCUGUCGACUUCGCGCUUCCACUAUAAUAUUGCGUCCUCUCUCUCUCUGCGGUUUAGUUCUAUGCUGUUAGGUCAAAGGAGGCAAAGAUGGUGUUUUUGGCUUAUUUUUAGAAUUAGGGCAAAUUGUCCGAAAUUCAAAGUAAUUGAAGCUACUUCACCCACUUCCACUCCUUCUUAAUCUAUAAAGCAAGGACAGACGAUGAACGCUUCGAUAAUCGAUCCACUGCAAGGAGAUUUUCCAGAGGUUAUAGAGGAGUAUUUGGAGCAUGGGGUCAUGAAAUGUAUCGCCUUUAAUCGUCGUGGCACUCUUCUAGCCGCUGGAUGCUCUGAUGGAAGUUGCAUUAUCUGGGAUUUCGAAACUAGAGGAAUUGCCAAGGAGCUUCGGGAUAAGGACUGUGCUGCUGCAAUAACAAGCAUCUGCUGGUCAAAGUAUGGUCAUCGAAUCCUUGUUUCUGCUGCUGAUAAAUCAUUAACACUUUGGGAUGUUGUAAAUGGACAGAAGAUUUCACGCACUGUUCUGCAGCAGACACCACUGCUGGCUCGCCUGCAUCCAGGUUCCUCUGCUCCAUCUCUUUGUUUGGCAUGCCCACUCUCAUCUGCUCCAAUGAUUGUUGACUUAAACACAGGAAGCACCACUAUGCUUCCAGUUGCAGUGCCUGAAAUGGGCAAUGGACUUGUCCCUCAAUCACGCAGCAAAUCUUCAGAUGGAACUCCCCCUUUCACUCCAACUGCUGCAUGCUUCAACAAGUAUGGAGAUCUAGUGUAUGUGGGAAAUUCGAAAGGGGAAAUAUUUAUAAUAGAACACAAAAGCAUUCAAGUGCAUGCCAUGGUUUCCAUUCCAGGUGGUGCUGUGAUAAAGAACAUAGUAUUCAGCAGAAAUGGACAGUAUCUGCUUACGAAUUCUAAUGAUCGGACUAUCAGAAUAUAUGAAAAUCUUCUUCCUCUGAAAGAUGGCCUUUCUGCUCUGGAGGAGAUGAACAGGACCAUUGAUGAGCAAGAUGGUGUUGAGAAGAUGAAAACUGUUGGAUCAAAGUGCUUAGCAUUAUUCCGAGAAUUUCAAGAUUCUAUCACCAAAAUGCACUGGAAGGCACCUUGUUUUAGUGGUGAUGGUGAGUGGGUAAUUGGUGGUUCUGCAAGCAAAGGAGAGCACAAAAUCUACAUAUGGGAUAGGGCUGGACAUCUUGUAAAAAUCCUUGAAGGUCCAAAGGAAGCAUUGAUUGAUUUAGCAUGGCAUCCUGUUCAUCCCAUUGUAGUCUCUGUUUCCUUGACAGGCUUGGUGUAUAUUUGGGCUAAGGAUUAUACUGAGAACUGGAGUGCAUUUGCACCAGACUUCAAAGAGCUAGAGGAAAAUGAAGAGUAUGUGGAGCGAGAAGAUGAAUUUGAUUUGAUGCCUGAAACUGAAAAGGUGAAGGAAUCAGAUGCUAAUGACGAUGAAGAAGUUGACAUUGUGACGGUGGAGAAAGAUGCCUUCAGUGAUUCUGAUAUGUCACAGGAAGAACUAUGCUUCUUGCCGGCUGAUCCUUGUCCUGAUGUUCCUGAGCAACAGGACAAGUGCGUUGGAAGUUCUUCCAAGUUGAUGGACAGUAAUCAUUCUGGAUCCCCUCCUUCUGAAGGAGCUGGACAAAAUGGGCUUGCUGUGAACCAUGCAUCAAGUCCACUUGAAGAGGACACAGGAGGUACCCGAAUGAAGAGGAAACGGAAACCUUCAGAAAAGGGGUUAGAGUUGCAGGCCGAGAAGGUCAGGAAGCCCAUGAAACCAUUGAAGUCUUCUGGUAGAUUGUCAAAAAUAAAAAAUAAAUUUGUUGUUGACCUAGAUAUUAGUAAUGGUGUGUAUGGGGAUGAUGUUUCUGACGAGUAGCAUUAGAUUUUUGUAAUAAUGAAGAGUCUAUCUAUUGUGCUGGAAAAUUUGGCAUCAUUUAUUAUUCAAGCACUUUGAGAUGCUCAACAAUAGCUUUCUACCCACAGUGUGU
rnacentral:misc_RNA from 1 species